UUGAAACAUUGAUUUGGUGACUAAUUCAGAAGCAGCAAUGACACAUUACAAGUCAUAUCAGUUAAACCAUGCAAAUAAUUUUCAUUAACAUAAGAGAGC